rnacentral:rRNA from 1 species
CCUACGGGAGGCAGCAGCCGCGGUAAUACGGAGGGUGCAAGCGUUAUCCGGAUUCACUGGGUUUAAAGGGUGCGUAGGCGGGCAGGUAAGUCAGUGGUGAAAUCCUGGAGCUCAACUCCAGAACUGCCAUUGAUACUAUCUAUCUUGAAUAUUGUGGAGGUAAGCGGAAUAUGUCAUGUAGCGGUGAAAUGCUUAGAUAUGACAUAGAACACCCAUUGCGAAGGCAGCUUACUACGCAUAUAUUGACGCUGAGGCACGAAAGCGUGGGAUCAAACAGGAUUAGAUACCCUGGUAGUCCACGCCCUAAACGAUGGAUACUCGACAUACGCGAUACACUGUGUGUGUCUGAGCGAAAGCAUUAAGUAUCCCACCUGGGAAGUACGUUCGCAAGAACGAAACUCAAAUGAAUUGACGG